rnacentral:rRNA from 1 species
UGGGGAAUUUUGGACAAUGGGGGAAACCCUGAUCCAGCCAUCCCGCGUGUGCGAUGAAGGCCUUCGGGUUGUAAAGCACUUUUGGCAGGAAAGAAACGUCAUGGGUUAAUACCCCGUGAAACUGACGGUACCUGCAGAAUAAGCACCGGCUAACUACGUGCCAGCAGCCGCGGUAAUACGUAGGGUGCAAGCGUUAAUCGGAAUUACUGGGCGUAAAGCGUGCGCAGGCGGUUCGGAAAGAAAGAUGUGAAAUCCCAGAGCUCAACUUUGGAACUGCAUUUUUAACUACCGGGCUAGAGUGUGUCAGAGGGGGGUGGAAUUCCGCGUGUAGCAGUGAAAUGCGUAGAUAUGCGGAGGAACACCGAUGGCGAAGGCAGCCUCCUGGGAUAACACUGACGAUCAUGCACGAAAGCGUGGGGGGCAAACAGG